CCUACGGGUGGCAGCAGUGGGGAAUAUUGCGCAAUGGGGGCAACCCUGACGCAGCCAUGCCGCGUGAAUGAAGAAGGCCUUCGGGUUGUAAAGUUCUUUCGGUGACGAGGAAGGCGUGAUGUUUAAUAGGCAUCACGAUUGACGUUAAUCACAGAAGAAGCACCGGCUAACUCCGUGCCAGCAGCCGCGGUAAUACGGAGGGUGCGAGCGUUAAUCGGAAUAACUGGGCGUAAAGGGCACGCAGGCGGCUAUUUAAGUGAGGUGUGAAAUCCCCGGGCUUAACCUGGGAAUUGCAUUUCAGACUGGGUAGCUAGAGUACUUUAGGGAGGGGUAGAAUUCCACGUGUAGCGGUGAAAUGCGUAGAGAUGUGGAGGAAUACCGAAGGCGAAGGCAGCCCCUUGGGAAUGUACUGACGCUCAUGUGCGAAAGCGUGGGGAGCAAACAGGAUUAGAUACCCUGGUAGUC
rnacentral:rRNA from 1 species